rnacentral:tRNA from 1 species
AGUGAAGUGCCUGAAAAAAGGAUUACCUUGAUAGGGUAAAUAAUGUAUAAAUUACCUUCAUUA